UAACACAAUAUACCUUUAGGGGCGCGUAGCGCCCGUGAUGCAAAAAUGCCUCUCGCAUGCACGUUAGUGCAUGCGGAGAGGCUAGUAUAUAUAGAGGGAGAAGGCCAAAUAGGUGAAGCAUUUCAAAAUGCCAAGAAAGUCCCUUUUUUGUAUUCACAACCAAACCCAAAAAAUUUCAAAAAAUGAGGAUAAACUGGUAAAAAAACAAUAACCACACAGAAAUAUGUAUUGAAAACCCACCACGUUCAGGACGUUCAGUUUUCUGCGUAGCAGUUUUCAAACCCCCCACAACCUUUUAUCAUAACUUCUCCACUUCAUUUGUUCAGUUACAAAAUUUUGAUCUCCGUACAUCGAUCAACCUCCUCUCCCAAUUCGAGCACUACUUCUCUAUUCUUUCUAAUGCUUCGUCUUCGUUUCGGAUCAGCUUGCUCUGACUCAGCCACUCCCGCUGGUUCGGAACCACCACCACGGUUGCGUACCGGAAGGACGGAGGAGAUACGUUUUUCAUUGAAGAAAGCAUUUCGUGGACGCCCCUCAGUGUAUUCGAUAAGGUUUCUCAAGCUCUUUACAACGCCGGCCUCGGCUAACUGUCUCUGGUUCAAGUACCAAGUUCAAUCCUAAACCUAACUUUUUUUCUUUCAUUUCUCAAUUUUCUCCAUCCAAGCAAUAAAAAAUUGAACUAUGUUUUCAGAUUAUUGAUCCCAAUUUGUGAAAUCGCUUCAAAUUUUGAAUUUUUUAUUAUGUGUUUUUGGGAUUUUAGGCUGCUAGCAUAGGGUCUAUAAUUUCAGGGAAGGAUUGUUGCAGCUGAAACUGAAUCAUCACGUUCAGGGAUGGAUGUUGUUUUGAUCAGGGAUUCCCCUCAUUGGGUUUUCAUUACAGUUUGGAUUUACAGUAAAUGCAAUUCCGGUUCCUAAAGCUCAAAGAGAAGGUCUGCAAAGUGCACAGGUUCAUAUGUAAUCCCUCCUAUCUGUAAUGGAAGUUUGUAGGGUUUAUGCUUUGGUUUAUAGUGAUGGAAAUAAAGUUGUUGCGAUGAAGACCUCUCUCACUCUCUGAGGCCAGAACGGAGUGAAACGGUAUUGGAUUGAUUUUAGCGAGUGGGUUUUUUUGUUAACGUGGAUCAGAUUCGGACCUUUGUGUCAAUCGAAGUCAUUGCUGGUUGGUUAGCCGAGGAUCUGUGCGUGCAACCUCAUUGGUUAGACAGGCCUUGGUGUUUGCUGUUUGGGCAAUGUUUAAUCCAUUGCCAGUGGUGCACUACUUUGUGAUACCAUGGAUGAGCAGGAAAGUAAAUGCAAGAGUUUGAUUGCAUAAUUACACGGAAAAAUAAGUUUAUAUAAUUUUAACUAUUCUGAAGUGAAUCUUCUACUGGUCCGGUUCAAUGUUGUCCCAGUUUACAUGGGACAAUGCAACACUUUAUGACACUCUUCUUAUCGGCUGUAUAUGGAUCAUCGUUGACUUAUGGAUUAAUAUGCUUAUGUAGAUGUAUACAUAUGUUUUGAUUCCUGUUAAACUUUGUUUGUAUUAUUUUUGUGGUUGGCAUUGAUAGUAGCUUUGAAAACAUUCAUAUUUAUCCAUAGGACCUUGAGGGAGGGUGAUCCAAUUUUCAGAGAAGAACUAAGUUUUUCUCAGAGAGGACGAAUUCUACAGCUUUUUAAUUUCAAAGACAAUUCCAGCCCCAUUGGAAUACAAAAAGUUUUCAACUGGAGUUCAACAUAUCAAGUAUGGAGAGAAAUGAUAGGAGCAAUAUAGCCAAAGUUGUCAUCUUCUUAAAUAAAUUGUUCUCAAUGUUAGGAUGUCUUUUUCCUCCGUUUGGGGUUUUGUCCUACCUGGUAUGAACAAUGUUUUAACUCUAUCAAAUAUUCUCCCUCAACUUUUGUAAACUUUGAAUUGCUCUCUGUAUUAUGUGACAUGAUGAUCGCUUUUCUUUAA